GACGAACGCUGGCGGCGUGCUUAACACAUGCAAGUCGAACGGUAAGGCCCUUCGGGGUACACGAGUGGCGAACGGGUGAGUAACACGUGGGUGAUCUGCCCUGCGCUUCGGGAUAAGCCUGGGAAACUGGGUCUAAUACCGGAUAGGACUCCGGACUGCAUGGUCUGGGGUGGAAAGCUUUUGCGGUGUGGGAUGGGCCCGCGGCCUAUCAGCUUGUUGGUGGGGUGAUGGCCUACCAAGGCGACGACGGGUAGCCGGCCUGGGAGGGUGACCGGCAACACUGGGACUGAGAUACGGCCCAGACUCCUACGGGAGGCAGCAGUGGGGAAUAUUGCACAAUGGGCGCAAGCCUGAUGCAGCGACGCCGCGUGAGGGAUGACGGCCUUCGGGUUGUAAACCUCUUUCAGCAUUGACGAAGCGAAAGUGACGGUAGGUGCAGAGGAAGGACCGGCCAACUACGUGCCAGCCGCCGCCGUAA
rnacentral:rRNA from 1 species